rnacentral:misc_RNA from 1 species
GAUGAAGAACGUAGCGAAAUGCGAUAAGUAAUGUGAAUUGCAGAAUUCAGUGAAUCAUCGAAUCUUUGAACGCACAUUGCGCCCUUUGGCAUUCCGAAGGGCACACCUGUCCGAGCGCCGUCGCACAACUGAGGCGCAGCCUUGCGUUGGCGGGCGACUUGUGAGUAGCGAGUCGCCGCCCAAACGAGACGGCGCCGCGCCGCGGCCGACGAAGCACGAAAGCGGAAGUCGACGCGGAGGCGGUUGCCUGUAGGAAGACACAGCUUGGCCUCGGAUCAGGUGGGGAUACCCGCUGAACUUAAGCAUAUCAAUAAGCGGGGA